rnacentral:rRNA from 1 species
GACGAUCUGUAGCGGGUCUGAGAGGAUGAUCCGCCACACUGGAACUGAGACACGGUCCAGACUCCUACGGGAGGCAGCAGUGGGGAAUUUUGGACAAUGGGGGCAACCCUGAUCCAGCCAUGCCGCGUGAGUGAAGAAGGCCUUCGGGUUGUAAAGCUCUUUCGGCCGGGAAGAAGUCGCAUGGGCCAAUACCCUGUGUGGAUGACGGUACCGGAAUAAGAAGCACCGGCUAACUACGUGCCAGCAGCCGCGGUAAUACGUAGGGUGCGAGCGUUAAUCGGAAUUACUGGGCGUAAAGCGUGCGCAGGCGGUUUUGUAAGACAGGCGUGAAAUCCCCGGGCUUAACCUGGGAACUGCGUUUGUGACUGCAAGGCUAGAGUACGGCAGAGGGGGGUGGAAUUCCACGUGUAGCAGUGAAAUGCGUAGAGAUGUGGAGGAACACCAAUGGCGAAGGCAGCCCCCUGGGUCGAUACUGACGCUCAUGCACGAAAGCGUGGGUAGCAAACAGGAUUAGAUACCCUGGUAGUCCACGCCCUAAACUAUGUCAACUAGGUGUUGGGUGGGUAAAACCAUUUAGUACCGUAGCUAACGCGUGAAGUUGACCGCCUGGGGAGUACGGCCGCAAGGUUAAAACUCAGAGGAAUUGACGGGGACCCGCACAAGCGGUGGAUGAUGUGGAUUAAUUCGAUGCAACGCGAAAAACCUUACCUACCCUUGACAUGCCAGGAACUUGCCAGAGAUGGCUUGGUGCCCGAAAGGGAGCCUGGACACAGGUGCUGCAUGGCUGUCGUCAGCUCGUGUCGUGAGAUGUUGGGUUAAGUCCCGCAACGAGCGCAACCCUUGUCGUUAAUUGCCAUCAUUUAGUUGGGCACUUUAACGAGACUGCCGGUGACAAACCGGAGGAAGGUGGGGAUGACGUCAAGUCCUCAUGGCCCUUAUGGGUAGGGCUUCACACGUCAUACAAUGGUCGGUACAAAGGGUUGCCAAGCCGCGAGGCGGAGCCAAUCCCAGAAAGCCGAUCGUAGUCCGGAUUGCAGGCUGCAACUCGCCUGCAUGAAGUCGGAAUCGCUAGUAAUCGUGGAUCAGCAUGUCACGGUGAAUACGUUCCCGGGUCUUGUACACACCGCCCGUCACACCAUGGGAGCGGGUUCCGCCAGAAGUAGGUAGCCUAACCGCAAGGGGGGCGCUUACCACGGCGGGGUUCGUGACUGGGGUGAAGUCGUAACAAGGUA